UAAAAUUAAACUAUAUAAUAUAUAAAAUAUAUAAAUAUGUUAAUUUCUAAAUUUGUGUUGAAAAAGUACUGAAACCUUAAUAUUUUAAUUUUGAAAUUUGCAUCGCACAUUAGAAAUUUAUAUUAAAAUAUACUAUAUAUCUAUGUCUAUGUCAUUAAAAUUUAGUUAUAUACCAUACAAAAUAAAUAAAAUAUUUUUUUUGAUUUAUUUACCAAAACAUUAUCUUAAAUAAACAAGAGGUAUUAUUUUUUAUUUAUGUGAUUACUAUAAUUUAAUUAUAUCCAUAAUACGUAAAUAAACACAAAUAUAUAAAAAUUAUUAUUAUAUAUAAUGUUCAUCAUGCGCAAUUGCGUGAGUCUUAAUCUAGUUAUAUACCAUAUACCAUAUUGGUCUCCCUUUCAGUUGACUUACUUUAAUGUUUUAUAUUGACAUAUAGUCAUAAGAUUAGAAUUUAAUCCACGCUUUGAAAUGGCGAGAUUAAUUUUAUUCAAAAUUUUAUUUAAUAAAAAUUAAAUUUUUCAUACAUAAGUAUUUUUUAUAUGAAAAAACUUUUAGAAUUUUUUUUGUAAGCAAUAUAAACAAAAUCAUGUAAACUCUACAAAUAAAACUCUUAGCUCCGCAUCUAUAUGGACAAAAAUUUUUUUAGUAUAAAUAACUAAACUAAAAUUUAUAUAAAUAUUAUUUUAUGAAAAUAAGUUCAAUUUAUGUAACCCGCCUCAUAUUAAUUUUACAAUAUUUUAAAACUGUAAAAUUAUAAUAUAUUGUUACUCAAACCGUCUCAUACUUGAUAAAUAUUUACAUGUUUAUAAAAUAAUCUACAAAAAACCAUAAUUAUGAAACAUAAUAUAUAGUUUGAUGUACCAUAUAAUCAAAUAAUAUUAAUAUCAAACAAAUCUAGUAUUUUAUUUUUAUAAAAUUCACAUAUAUUAAAUAUAGUUUAAUAUUCUAAUUUAAAUAUGAAUAUUAACAUUUAAAAUUAUGGGAUUUUUGUAAAUAUGACUCAAAAUUUGAAUUCAAGACAGGAGCUUGACAGAGCCGCUCAAAUCUCUCUCGCAAGGAGCGACGAGAACCAAGAGCCAGAUCUGAAAAGCAAAAAUCACAGACCACUCCUUGAACUCUAAAAACCGACUACACCCACCAUAAACUGCUGCCGUAAACUCACCCAGAGACCAGAGGAAGAGGAAACGUCACCGGAAGCGAACCCCUCACGAGCGGAGCUGAUGUCGUACGAACGAAACCUAGCCCAAUUUCUGAGGCAUAUCGAAAAGGAGACAGAAUGGAUGGGCAGCAAAUAUAAAACCGAGAGAUAAAGAGAAGAGAGCUUCCGGCACCGGCGGUGGUGCUCACGCGCUUGCUGGACGCCGGAGCAAGGGAGGCCACACGAUUGAGAGAGAGGAUGUAUAGAGAGAAAGGAUAAGAGAGAGAGGAAAAAUGUUUGUUAAUAGACACACUUACAUAUUGGAAAACCAUAAAAUAAGGUUGAAUUAGUUAAAUAACAGUGAUGUUAUUUGAUAAUUUUAAUAUCUCUAUUACCCCUAUAUUUUUCCUAAUUAAUAUAUGUUUAAAACAUGGUUUAAAUUGGGAUUUAUAAAUUCUAGGACCAAUUUUAUAUAAUUUUAUCAUAAAAUUAAUAAUAUUUGAUUUAGUUUGAAUUUUCAAGUCGAAUGGAAAUCUCUAACAAGCACUUUCAUUUUGAAUGUGGUUCGGCUUUAAAAUGAGAGAUUAAGGGCAUGAAUGGUUUCCCCGUUACAACCCGCAAACGCAGCUUUUGCUGUUGGUAACGGUUGCAGUGUUUCGAAACAAUCAUACAAACCGCUAAAAAUCGCUACAAACCGCUAAAAAUCGCUUCAAACCGCUCUGAACCUCUUAAAAUGAAAAGCUGGUUCCAGCACGCGUUUGCGGGAGGAUAAUUUUUUUUCUUUUGUGUAAAAACCAUAUAAAUACAAAAAUAAAAAUAUUCAAUAAAAAAUUAAAAUUGGAAUGAUAAAAAUACUAAAAUAUAUCUAUUAUAUUUUAAUUAGUAUUAUAAAAUUUUAAAAUAAUUUUUUUUUCUAUAAUUUUAAAAUUUAAAACUAUAACUUUCUAAAUAUAAUUUUCAUAUUUAUUAUCAUAUUAUGAUUUUGAUAUUUUGAUAAGUAUUAGAAAAUGUAAAUAUUUUUAAUUUAUUAUUUAACCGCUGCUGUAUUUGGUAGUUAACCAGUCAUAAGUAUCCCGCAAAUGCACCAAAUUCUAACCGCAGAACCAGUCGUACAAAUCUUUUAUAACUGCUAGAAACUGCAACCACCCUCAUCCAAAAAUUCUCGCAGCCACAACCGCUGCAUUUGAACCAGUUAUGCCCUAAAAGUGUGUUGUUCCAACGGUCACCCUCAAAAAUUUAAGAGAAUUUCUUAUUUAUAUUUGAGUCCUCGACAUUAUUAAUAACUAGCUUAUAUAUUCGGAUAUAAGCAUGUUCCGACUUUGUUAUCCGAACUGAACCAAAAACAAAAAUAACCGAACCAAAACCGAAAUGAACUUUCUAAAUAACCUAACAUAUCCUAAACUUCUAGAACCAAAUUGAACUGAACCGAGAACUGAAUACCCACGGCUAGCUAUGCUAAUGAAUUUUAAGAUGGUUUGUGCUGAUUGUUUGGUAAUGAUCUUGAGAGAUGUUUGUGAUGAGAGAGAUGAAAGUUAGGGAUUUAAGAAAGAUGAAUUGGAACUUCUCGUGUUUAGAUUAGAUUUUUCGUUUUAUCAAAAGAACAUUGUUUAAUAACUUAACUUCUGUCAAACAAAUUAAUGGAAGAUUAAUUAGAGUGUUAAAAAGGUUUAGUCAACGAUUGUUCAAGAUUUUUUCUUUUUUGACUAAGAGUUCAAGAAUUAAAUGGCCUGUUUUGGAGUUCAAAAAUUUUUUAUUUUAUUUUUAAAAGUUUAUGAUUAAAAGGUCAUUUUUUCUAUUAUAUCGUCUGGUCAAAAAGAUGAAUAAGGAAAGAAUACUAUUAAGUGACUGGGUAAGAUGAAUAAUAACUCUAACGUGGUCAUAUUUAUUUAUACAUAAACAGGUCAAAUGUACUCAAUCUAUAAAUAAAAAGACUACUUAUUUGGCUAAACCCAUAUCUAGCAUUCCAUUAAAAAAGAUUGUAUAAAUCAAGUAUAAAUUGGCUCUAUCAUCAUCAUCAUCGACACACAAGCACUAUCAACUAAAUUCUUUUGAUUUCUGAUUUGCUUAAUCAAAAGGAAUCUAAGAUGAUGAAACUGCUUUUUUGAUUAUGGUUCUUGUUUUCGUAAUGACUUUGUCAUAUCCGAAUGCUCAGCCGACAGAUCCUCAAAGGUGUCAAAACGCAUUUAUGAACAUUACAGAAGGAUGCCGCCAACCUCGGAAAGUAAUCUAUAUUGACCCACUUGAAAAUUUUGUAUUCUCAUUACCCCACUCAUUUUCUAACUAUCCUAUCAUAUUUCCUCUCUUCUUAUUACCCUCAACUAUUAUAUUAUUAUCUUUUUCCCGCGGACCCCAUGCCUUAUUUCUAAUUUUAUAAUUAAAAAAUGGAUCCCUCAUCCCACAUAAAAUCCAUAAUUUAUUAAAAUCCAUAAUUUAUUGGACACCUAACAUGCGACCCCACACCUCAUCUACUUCUCUCAUUCCCACAGUUGUCCAUCUUGUUCCCUUUUCUCACAUCUUGCUCCAAAUCCAACCAUCUGCGAAUGCUUCUUCCUCUUCAAGCUCCAUUGGUGUUUUUUGAAAGUUUUUUUGACGAAAAUUGGUACGUUUUUCAUGAAAUUUUUAUAACAAUAUACUAUUUAUGUUCUAUGUGUUAUGAGCUCUGUUCAAAAACGCGACCGCCUAGCUGAAUAGGCGUCCGCCUAGGCGUUCGACGAUUGUGAACCGCCCAGAUUUUGACCAAUCGGUAUAAUUAAUCGGAUUUGUACAAAACCCAAUUAAUCGCUUAAAUAACCAACUAAUUGCCGCCUAAAAGCCAAUUUUAACAGACAAUAUUACUAUGUUGACAAAUUUUGAGCCCAAUAAUCAAGCCCAUUCGUCUGAUUAUAAUUUGAAACCUUAUUUGUGUAUUUAUAGGAGAGCUGAAGACUCCUCUUUUCCUUAGUUAGCCAAUGAGGGACAAAUGCAAGUUAUUUUUUUAUCUUUUUUUAAUAACUCGCGCUUGUUAAAACUAGUAAAAAAUUGCAACAGACGUGUAUCGAACCAUCAACAUGUAUUUCGACAAACGCAUGACAUGCCACUGGACUAUGACAUUUCUAUGUCCAAUAAUUUAUAGGACACCUAACAGGCGACCCCACACCCCAUCAACCUCUCCUUCCCACAGCUGUCCAUCUUGUUCCCUUUUCUCACAUCUUGCUCCUUUUUUUCCAACCACCUGCAAAUGCUUUUUCCCCUUAAAGCUCCAUUGGCGUUUUUUAAAGGUUUUUUUGAUGAAAAUUGGUACGUUUUGUCAUGAAAUUAUCAUAACAAUAUACUACUUAUGUUCUAUGUGUUAUGAGCCAUGUUCAAAUACGCGGCCGCCUAGCCGAGUAGGCAUCCACUUAGGCGUUUGACGGUUGUGAACCGCCCCGAUUUCGACCAACCGGUAUAAUUAAUCGGAUUUGUACAAAACCCAAUUAAUCGCUUAAAUAACCAACUAAUCGCCGCCUAAAAGCCGAUUUUAAUAGAAAAUAUUACUAUGUUAACAAAUUUUGGGCCCAAUAAACAAGCCCUUUCGUCUGGUUAUAAGUUUAAACUACAAGUACCCUUAGAAAUAGAAGGAGAAGCAGACCAUAGGUUGUCACAUCUGUUUUGAGUGAAGAAUAUCUCGUAGAUAUGACACACCAACACCAAAUGAUCUGAUCAGUAUGGUUACCCACAAGGUUGGUGUUGAUGUGUCAUAUGCCACAACAUGGAGAGGAAAAAGGAUGGCUGCUAAUGAAGUCCGAGGUAAUCCGGAAGAGAGUUUUUCUAUUAUACACUCCUAUAUGUACAUGCUUAAGUUGAAGAAUCCUGACUCAGUAAGUUAUGUUGAAGUGGAUGCGGCGAAAAGCAUGUUGUGAAGGGUAGUUUAGUAUUUACCGACAUUUCUGUAAUUAAAAGAAAAUGAAAAUUAAUUGUUAAUGUUACAGAUUUAUGUUGGCCAUAGAGUUAGUAGGGAAAAUAAGAAUAAAGUCCGCCAACCUCUACACGAAUUUUUUCAUUUUCAUUUCGGAUUCGGUGGGCUCAAGAAAGCAUGUUGUGGAACCGUUGUUAAUGUUACAGAUUUAUGUUGGCCAGUCCUCUUCCUGAGCCAGCCUAACAUUCAUUUUAUGUUGAAGUCUAUUUGCACAAAGCCCAAUUUACAUUGAAGUUUCUUGAGUAUUUUAUUUUUAUGAUAUUUUAAAAUGUGAAAAUAAAAGAUUAUCUACAGGAUAAUUUAUUAAUUAAUACAUACUUUUGCUUAUGAUACCAUUUAUGUAUUACUAGACUUUAAUCUGUAUCAUGCUCGUAAACUUUAGUUUAAAUAUAGAAAUUAAAUUAAAUAAUAUGUUACAAAUACCAUUUACUAAUUUUACUAAAUUUGUAGAGAAAAACUAAGUUUUUGAGACGUCAAAUUUAUCUAAAGUGUCUGACUUCUAAAAGUAAUUCCCGAUAUAAAUGCUGGAAUAUACUCAUGAUGACUUGCUUGAAAACACUAUCUGGAUCUCGCUGAACAAUAUUGAAUAAAAUAAUACAUAAUCAUGAAGAUAGUUUACAAAAAUAAUAGAUAUAUCAAAGAUAAAUUAGAAAACUUAGGAUUCUUCCCUACAACCUUUUAAUAUAGUCAUAACUAAAAAACAGAUGAAGAGAUUCAUGCUCUACCAAAUAUGUAAAAAUUAUCCUAUGAAAUAGCUAAAGAAUCUCAACCAUUUAAGAAGUUUAAGGGAUCAAAUCAAAUUUAUUUUAAUUAUUCUAUUACAGUUAAAAUUAUUACAUUUAUCUGAAACCGAAAAACCGAACCAUGCCAAAAAAAAAAAAAAAAACCAAAAUCAAAUCAAACUUUCUAAAUAUUCGUAUUAAUCUUAGAUCUCUAAAACCGAAAAUAAGUGAUGAAGUUAAAGAGUCUUGUAAAAAUAAGAUGAAUGGAGGAAAAUACUCUGACGGCGACAUGUCCAAAGGCUGGAUUUUAAUGAGCUCAAGAACUAAAAUAAAGAAACGUAAUAAAAGCUAAGGGAAAAAGAGGAGAAAUGAAAUCCCCUAUAUAUUAUUGAGAAUCUUCUAAAUAGUUAUAAUCUUAAGUUUGUAUUAAUUAGAAAGAGACCAUAUCCUAUGUGGCAGUUGUUUAAGCUCUUUUAUUACUGACGUGGCUGAAUUUUAGAGAGUUUUGGCAAAGCAUAAUCUAAAAUAUACAUGCCUAGCGAGAAAUACAAUUCGAUGGACCUAUAACCGUAUUAUUUAUACCACACGCUUUAAUUCAUGGACUGUGGGCAUACUACGUAUCAUGUAAGCGUAACUAUAUAUUAACAUAUAAUAAUUCAAGUCCAAAUGUAUUCGUUUGUAAAAAACUAUAUCAAAUUUUUCUGGAGCCAUUACGUACAAGUUAUAAAGCUUUGGAAAAAAAAUAAUCUAAUUGUCUUUGAUGGAAAAUAUCAUGUACACAUGUACACAUGUACAUAUAUACUAAUUAUCUUUCUAUACUCAACCAUUCAAGUAUUUUUUUAAACACGUAAUAUAUUAUACUUAAUACAUUAUCAUGAAUACCAUAGUGUGUAUUGCUACAUAAUCAUGAAUACCAUAGUGUAUUGUAUACAUAAUUGUGGAUCGAUCGGUUAAAUAUGGAACCUUACCAGUAAUUUAUGGUUUGGGGUGGAUUAUGAAUCGUCUGGUUCUCAUACGGUUGGAGUCUAUAUAGUUUAAGACUUAAAUCUAAUAGAAGUUGAUUGUAUAGGAAAUAAAAGAUGCGAUUUGCUAAUGUAUAGUUGUAACAUAAAAUAUUAAUCCUUGCUAUUUCUAUACGUGCAACCAUUACAUUUAAGAAUAUCUUUCGUAAGUGAAACUUUCUUAAAUUAUACAGAUGUACAUAUAUUCUAUUUUUAAUACGAAAGAUUUACAUAGUGCUUAUUACUUAAAUCUAGAAGAGUGUGAUUUAAACAAUUUUUUACUAUAUAUAUAGUUUCACAUCAAAUAUAUAUUUUGCCAAAUGAUAUUUUCUAUACGUGAAAAAUACUUUUAUAUGGAUCAUUCAUAGUUGGAAUUUUAAAAUUUUGAAUAAUUCACAUAUAUUCCAUACUAGGGGUUGGCCCGCCCUACGGGCGGGUGAAUUUACAUUAAAAUUAUGUUAUACUAAAAAUAAUUUAAUUUUAUAAAACAUUCGAAAAGUUACUUUAAAUUGAACAUAACAUAUAUAAUUUGUUUUCUAAUUACAUCAUAUAUAUUUAUUUUGCUAAAAUUUGAACUUUGUUUAUAAUUUGUACCUGUUUGGAUUUUUAUUUGUUAUUAACUAUAUCUUAUGACAUUAUACUAUUUUAUUUUCGGUAUUAAUUUCACACAUGUUUUUAAUGGAAAUACAUUUUUUCUUUUUGCAUUUACAUGAGAAUCGGUGGCAUUAUAUUGGUCCUUUCUCGUUCUGUUGUCUCAUAUGACGGUUAUGCUUCUCCUGUCCUUCGAUGUGGUUGUAAAGCUUGUCAGGUGGUUCGUGUUGUUGUUGGUUGUUCGUACUCGAUUCGUCUGACUGUCUCUUUGUAAUAUUCAUGUGGUUUUUAGGUGCUUGGGUGUUAUCUUCUUCUUCAAUUUUGAACUUUUUAAUUCUUGAAUGUAGUUUUUGACGUGAUCCCUUACUUUAAAUGCCACUGUCUAGGUCUUAGUUUCCUGUCUUUGGGAUCUAGUUUGUAGGGAUAUCUUUGUUUUCCGCCAUCAUAUGUAUACUAACUUGUCUUUUAUUUGUUUGGUAAUUUCACCGAAUGAAAUAUAUAUCAAUUUGGGAAAA